UGGGGAAUAUUGCACAAUGGGCGCAAGCCUGAUGCAGCCAUGCCGCGUGUGUGAAGAAGGCCUUCGGGUUGUAAAGCACUUUCAGCGGGGAGGAAGGCGAUAAGGUUAAUAACCUUGUCGAUUGACGUUACCCGCAGAAGAAGCACCGGCUAACUCCGUGCCAGCAGCUGCGGUAAUACGGAGGGUGCAAGCGUUAAUCGGAAUUACUGGGCGUAAAGCGCACGCAGGCGGUCUGUCAAGUCGGAUGUGAAAUCCCCGGGCUUAACCUGGGAACUGCAUUCGAAACUGGCAGGCUAGAGUCUUGUAGAGGGGGGUAGAAUUCCAGGUGUAGCGGUGAAAUGCGUAGAGAUCUGGAGGAAUACCGGUGGCGAAGGCGGCCCCCUGGACAAAGACUGACGCUCAGGUGCGAAAGCGUGGGGAGCAAACAGG
rnacentral:rRNA from 1 species